AGAACUAAUAAUAUUUAGAAUCAAAUGAAGGAGUAACGUCCCAAAGGGUUCUCCCUAAUACUCCGACAUGCAUAUAUAUGGCAAGAUAUAUAUGUAUGAAGCUCGGUGAAGACGACUAAGACUUCUCCCUAACAGAUAGUUCUGAGGAAAUGUGAACCAGAGGUGGUCAAGAGAUUUAUAGGUCGGGGGUUAAUAA
rnacentral:ncRNA from 1 species